CAGAGCAGGUCAUCUCUGAUCCUGUUGUGUGUGUUCUGCUCUGUGCAUUUAACACCUCAUAGGAGUAUAAUGGGCCCCCAAAGUUCACUGAGCAUUCUCCUUUGGGAGACACAGAACAGCACUUUU